GGAAUCAUUGGGGGUAAAGCGCGAGUAGGCGGCUUGGCAAGUUGGAUGUGAAAGCCCUGGGCUCAACCCAGGAUGUGCAUUCAAAACGGCCUGGCUUGAAUCUCGGAGGGGGUCAGGGAAUUCCCGGUGUAGAGGUGAAAUUCGUAGAUAUCGGGAGGAACACCAGUGGCGAAGGCGCUGACCUGGACGAUGAUUGACGCUGAGGCGCGAAAGCGUAGGGAGCAAACA
rnacentral:rRNA from 1 species